GUGUUGCCCGGCUGGUUGAAAACUGGGUCAAACGGUGUCAGCCGAAAUAGUCAUCUCUUCCUGUUUCACGCAGCCUCUGUUUAUACGGUCUGUAACGUUCGCGAAGGUCUCUUCGUAACAUCUUUCAGUCUCUUUCAUUUUCGUUGAUAUCUACUGUCGUAUCAAAAAGAUAAAUCUUCAAGAUGAUGCGAAUGCAGAAGGACCGUGUCGACCCCGAAGAAGAGAAGAAGAAGGCCAGACAACAAACAAUGCAGACAGUAGCUUUCUUCGUGAUGGUGUGUGGCUUUAUACGUGCAAUUCCCAUCAUGAUGGAGCGGUUCAAUUAAGUCUGGUUGAAUAAGAAGACUAAAGAAACAUUUCUAGAAGAGACAGUUCGAAGACCUUAGAACAAAAUGAACUAGACCUGCUGUUUGGUGCAGACCACAGUUAUGUCUUCAUGUGUUCAGCACCAAUCCAAAGUAUGGAAAGGUGUGCAGUUUUCUGGAAUACGGUUGUAUCAUCAUAGCUUCUGUACUCCAACAAUGGAUGGUUUGGUGCAGUGUUGUGGGUUACAGUUUUCAUUCAUUAGAAGUCAUUCCAAGCAUUAAAAAUACCUGUUAAUUAUGA